CCUACGGGAGGCAGCAGUAAGGAAUAUUGGUCAAUGGACGAAAGUCUGAACCAGCCAUGCCGCGUGAAGGAUUAAGGCCCUCUGGGUUGUAAACUUCUUUUAUCUGGGACGAAAAAAGGGUAUUCUUACUCACUUGACGGUACCAGAGGAAUAAGCACCGGCUAACUCCGUGCCAGCAGCCGCGGUAGUACGGAGGGUGCAAGCGUUAUCCGGAUUUACUAGGUUUAAAGGGUGCGUAGGUGGGCUUGUAAGUCAGUGGUGAAAUCUCCGGGCUUAACCCCGGGAAACUGCCAUUGAUACUAUAGGUCUUGAAUUAUCUGGAGGUAAGCGGAAUAUGUCAUGUAGCGGUGAAAUGCUUAGAUAUGACAUAGAACACCAAUUGCGAAGGCAGCUUACUACGGAUACAUUGACACUGAGGCACGAAAGCGUGGGGAUCAAACAGGAUUAGAUACCCUGGUAGUCCACGCCCUAAACGAUGGAUACUCGACAUCAGCGAUACACUGUUGGUGUCUGAGCGAAAGCAUUAAGUAUCCACCUGGGAAGUACGAUCGCAGAUUGAAACUCAAAUGAAUUGACGG
rnacentral:rRNA from 1 species